rnacentral:tRNA from 1 species
AGCCCCGUAGUGUAGUGGCCAAAUUCUUUGACGCAAGUCGGGAAGGCAAUUCAUCCUACCCUUUGGAGGUGGGGACCCAGGUUCGAACCCUGGCGGGGCUA